rnacentral:rRNA from 1 species
UAGGGAAUCUUCCACAAUGGACGAAAGUCUGAUGGAGCAACGCCGCGUGAGUGAAGAAGGGUUUCGGCUCGUAAACUCCGUUGUUAAAGAAGAACAUAUCUGAGAGUAACUGUUCAGGUAUUGACGGUAUUUAACCAGAAAGCCACGGCUAACUACGUGCUAG